GGGCAUGACAGCUGGUAUGGGAAGUUCAUGGCUUACCUGAGCCUCAGAGUGGUUAGGGGGGCCGUGGUGCGGGCCUGUUGCCGGGUCACAACUGGAUAUGCUUCCUGUACGGUGGAUUGAGGAACAAAAGCUGAAGUCAGCUCCCCCAGGUCAUUGCCCAAAAUGACGUCAGCGGGUAAAUUCUGCAUCAUCCCCACCUCCACAUUCCCAUGCCCCGCUCCCC